rnacentral:rRNA from 1 species
AACGAACGAGGGAGGAAUGCCUAACACAUGCAAGUCGAACGAGACCUUCGGGUUUAGUGGCGCAUGGGUGCGUAACGCGUGGGAACCUGCCCUUAGGUUUGGAAUAACUCCUCGAAAGGGGUGCUAAUACCGGAUAAUGUACUCGAACCAAAGAUUUAGCGCCUUUGGAUGGGCCCGCGUUGGAUUAGCUAGUUGGUAGGGUAAAAGCCUACCAAGGCGACGAUCCAUAGCUGGUCUGAGAGGAUGAUCAGCCACACUGGGACUGAGACACGGCCCAGACUCCUACGGGAGGCAGCAGUGGGGAAUAUUGGACAAUGGGCGAAAGCCUGAUCCAGCAAUGCCGCGUGAGUGAUGAAGGCCUUAGGGUUGUAAAGCUCUUUUACCCGGGAUGAUAAUGACGGUACCGGGAGAAUAAGCUCCGGCUAACUCCGUG